rnacentral:misc_RNA from 1 species
GGACUACUCGGGUAUCUAAUCCCGUUCGCUCCCCUAGCUUUCGCGCCUCAGCGUCAGUGUCGGCCCAGCUACCCGCCUUCGCCGCAGGUGUUCCUCUCGAUAUCUACGCAUUUCACCGCUACACCGAGAAUUCCAGUAGCCCCUUCCGCACUCUAGCACGACAGUAUCACUUGGCCGCUCCGAGUUAAGCCCGGAGAUUUCACAAGUGACUUGUUGCGCCGCCUACGCGCCCUUUACGCCCAGUAAAUCCGAACAACGCUUGCUCCCCCCGUAUUACCGCGGCGGCUGGCAC